rnacentral:rRNA from 1 species
AGCUAGUCGCUGUAGGAAAAUCCGCAGCGGCGUUUUGACGCGAGGUGCGAUGCCAGCUGGCGUAUGCCGGCAAGUCUCUGAUUCCAUGCCUCCAAGAAAAGCCUCUAGGCAGGAUUCGCGUGCCUGUACCGAUAACCGACACAGGUGGACAAGUAGAGAAUACUAAGGUGAGCGAGCUAACUCUCGUUAAGGAACUCGGCAAAAUCGUCCCGUAACUUCGGGAGAAGGGACGCCCCGUUAGAGUGAACUCCAUCCGGAGGGAGCUCGAGGGGGCCGCAGUGAAUUGGUCCAACCGACUGUUUACCAAAAACACAGGGCUCUGCUAAGUCGUAAGACGACGUAUAGGGUCUGACGCCUGCCCGGUGCCGGAAGGUUACGUGGACUUGUUAGCUCUUCGGAGCGAAGCAGCGAAACUAAGCCCCGGUAAACGGCGGCCGUAACUAUAACGGUCCUAAGGUAGCGAAAUUCCUUGUCCGGUAAGUUCCGACCUGCACGAAUGGCGUAACGAGUUGGACGCUGUCUCAACGAGAGGCUCGGUGAAAUUAAAGUCUCGGUGAAGAUGCCGAGUACCCGCAGCUAGACGGAAAGACCCCGUGAACCUUUACUGCAACUUGAUAUUGGAGUUUGGGGUAUCUCGCUCAGGAUAGGUGGGAGACUUUGAACCAGCGACUUUGGUUGUUGGGGAGUCACCCUUGAGAUACCACCCUUGGUGCUCUGAGCUUCUAACACCGCGCCGUGAUCCGGGCGGUGAACAGUGUCAGGUGGGCAGUUUGACUGGGGCGGUCGCCUCCUAAAAUGUAACGGAGGCGCCCAAAGGUUCCCUCAGCACGGUUGGAAAUCGUGCGUAGAGUGUAAAGGCAAUAAGGGAGCUUGACUGCGAGACCGACAGGUCGAGCAGGAACGAAAGUUGGGCUUAGUGAUCCGGCGGUAGCAAGUGGAAGCGCCGUCGCUCAACGGAUAAAAGGUACUCCGGGGAUAACAGGCUUAUCGGUUCCAAGAGUCCACAUCGACGAACCGGUUUGGCACCUCGAUGUCGGCUCGUCGCAUCCUGGGGCUGGAGUAGGUCCCAAGGGUUGGGCUGUUCGCCCAUUAAAGCGGUACGCGAGCUGGGUUCAGAACGUCGUGAGACAGUUCGGUCCCUAUCUGCUGUGGGCGUUGGAGAGUUGAGAGGAGUCAUCCCUAGUACGAGAGGACCGGGAUGAACGUGCCUCUGGUGUAUCUGUUGUCCUGCCAAGGGCAUCGCAGGUUAGCUACGCACGGAACGGAUAACCGCUGAAAGCAUCUAAGCGGGAAGCCGUCCUCGAGAUGAACUCUCCCAUCCCUUUAAGGGAGUAAGACCCCUGGUAGACCACCAGGUUGAUAGGCCAGCGGUAGAAGUCCAGUAAUGGGCGUAGCCGACUGGUACUAAUGGUUCGAGGGCUUGACGG